rnacentral:lncRNA from 1 species
AGCUGGUACACUGGUCUUCUCUGGCCUUUGGAGUCAGAGUGAACUGGAACUUACUCCAUUGGCUCUCCUGGUUCUCAGUCUUUGGACUCCGACAGGAACUAGACCAUCGGCUCUCCUGGGUCCCCGGCUGACUGACCACAGAUCAUGGAACUCCUCAGCCCCCUAUCCACAUGAGCCAAUUCCUUAUAAUAGGAUGCCUGCCACAGCAUAGCUUGCCAAGCGGUGCCAUGUCUGCACCCGGGAUCCGAACGGGUGAACCCCGAGCUGCCAAAGUGGAACACGCGCACUUAACCACUGUGCCACGGGGCCGGCCCCAUCAUGCUCAUAUUCCUGAUAGAAUUACUUUAAGAAAGGAGUGUCUGCAAAGGAUGAGAAAUAGAGUUGGUGGAUCUGCCUGGAGUCACGGGAGAAAGAAGGGAAAAUCUGAAAGGUCUGUGGAAGAUGAAUCAAGGAGAAGUCGAAAAACCUGUUUAAGAUGUUUAAGGGAGCAGAGAAAUUCAAGGAUCAAUAGGAAAUCUCCUUGUGUGAGG